UGGGGAAUUUUGGACAAUGGGGGCAACCCUGAUCCAGCAAUGCCGCGUGAGUGAAGAAGGCCUUCGGGUUGUAAAGCUCUUUUGUCAGGGAAGAAAAGGUGAGGGCUAAUAUCCUUUGCUGUUGACGGUACCUGAAGAAUAAGCACCGGCUAACUACGUGCCAGCAGCCGCGGUAAUACGUAGGGUGCGAGCGUUAAUCGGAAUUACUGGGCGUAAAGCGUACGCAGGCGGUUAUGUAAGACAGAUGUGAAAUUCCUGGGCUUAACCUGGGGACUGCAUUUGUGACUGCAUAGCUAGAGUGUGUCAGAGGGGGGUAGAAUUCCACGUGUAGCAGUGAAAUGCGUAGAUAUGUGGAGGAAUACCGAUGGCGAAGGCAGCCCCCUGGGAUAACACUGACGCUCAUGUACGAAAGCGUGGGGAGCAAACA
rnacentral:rRNA from 1 species